UUUGACUUGGCAGAGAAAUGCCGUUGACUUAGGAUCAUCUCAUAGCCUUUAGGUUAGUCGGAA
rnacentral:tRNA from 1 species